CCAGGAAUAUAAUCUUUAGCAACCGAUUCUCCAUAAGCUUGAAUUUUUGCUUCUGUAGAUGCCUCAGUGGGUUUUCCCUGGAAUUUUUUCUGUAACAUUUUG